rnacentral:rRNA from 1 species
AACGAACGCUGGCGGCAUGCCUAACACAUGCAAGUCGAACGAUGCUUUCGGGCAUAGUGGCGCACGGGUGCGUAACGCGUGGGAAUCUGCCCUUUGGUUCGGAAUAACCGUUGGAAACGACGGCUAAUACCGGAUGAUGACGUUGAGUCCAAAGAUUUAUCGCCAGAGGAGGAGCCCGCGUGAGAUUAGGUAGUUGGUGGGGUAAAGGCCUACCAAGCCGACGAUCUCUAGCUGGUCUGAGAGGAUGAUCAGCCACACUGGGACUGAGACACGGCCCAGACUCCUACGGGAGGCAGCAGUGGGGAAUAUUGGACAAUGGGCGCAAGCCUGAUCCAGCAAUGCCGCGUGAGUGAUGAAGGCCUUAGGGUUGUAAAGCUCUUUUACCCGGGAUGAUAAUGACAGUACCGGGAGAAUAAGCCCCGGCUAACUCCGUGCCAGCAGCCGCAGUAACAC